rnacentral:rRNA from 1 species
AUGAGGGUUCACACGAAGGCCUGCGAGAUGGAGUACUACAUGUGGUACAAGCCGUACUUCCAGAGGGCCGGGUUGCUGCCAUUUGUGCUCUUGUUCAAUCGUGCGCCACUGACGAUCAACCAAUCGGUUCUCACAACCCUGCUUGGCCGUUGGCGGCUGGAGAUGCACACUUUCCAUCUCCCUUAUGGGGAGAUGACGGUGACACUCGAGGAAUUCGCCAUGAUCACUGGCCUACCGCUGCACGGCAAGGCUCUCAUAGGCUUAAGGAUGGCAACUUUAUCCAUGGACAUGGAUAUCCAUGAAUAUCCGACCUGA